UUAGAAUUAUAACUAGGUGGUUAAGAGAUGAGAAGAGGAGAAAAAAAAAAAAAAAAAAGCCUGGAAACUUUAUUUAGAACACUGUGGGAUUUCCUGGGACAGUGCAGUGAUGGUGCUGAUACACCAUAUGGCUUGGUUGCUAGCAUCAACCAGAGGUACCACAUUGUUGCUCCGGGUGCCUACUCCUAGUAGAGUCCCAGAGGAAAGCUGUGGAGAGUGCCUGGCACCCCUGCCCAAUAGAGAUGAGGGUGAUGGCAGCCUCAUCCAUGGAGGUGUGCUCUGGAUGAGUCACCAGGUGAAAAACUUGUAGAAAAAGUGAGCGGACUGUGCCAUUGGGGAGGGUGGAAAGGAGACUGACACUGUCUGCAGAGGCAAGGUCUCAAACGGUGUGAUAUAAAGGAAAAGCAGCUACAAGUUUUUCUCAAGGGAGCAAUGAAUGGAGGCUCCCAAGAGAGGAGAUCCUGGAAAACUGGUUUACAGUGACACAAAGAAGAUUAUUUUUCUGGCUGCAGAUCUGCCGCUACAAAAUAUGAAUAACAUUCUGGGAAUAAAUGAGGAGAAAUUGUUGGAAGAGGCAUCAAAGCCAGAUGAGCCUGAACACUGUAUUUUCACCAAGGAGUGUGUUGGAGGCUUCCUUCUGUAGAAGAAGCUACUGAUGUUUCAGUUGGCUUGCUGCAUUCUGUGGCUCAAAUAUAAGGUGCUUUGGAGCCACUACUAAGGGUUUAUGCAGCGUUUGGGUUAAGAUUACUUGCUGCUUCCUGUGUGGGCAACUGGGCAGCAUCAAGACUGCAGAGCUCUGGAGUUUUUCUUUUCUAGUUGUUCUGUCCUCAUUGUAUGAAGACUUUGCUUUUCCCUGGAACCAAAGUGACUCUCUGACUCUGCAACAUGCCUGGAGGAUAGAGUGCUCUAAAUCCUUUCUCUGUUUUGAACUAAACUGUACAGGUAGGGAAAGAAAUUAUGUUGAAAGGCAAAAGCUAUUCGUAGAACAUUACUCAUGUAUUAACUAUGAGAGAGUGACAAAUAAUGCACUGCAUAAGCCAUCUACACUGGCAAAGCAACAAACUGAAAACAAACAGCCCUGGGAGCAGAGACUGAAACUGGCUUCUCUGACCUCUCAGGUGACUUUCCUGACUUGUAAACCAGAGAGAUGUCGUUAGCCCAAUUCAUCUUUGUUUCUCAUAGGCAAGGUGAAAUAACUUCUCCACAAGGGAUUAAGAUUUUGCAUCCUUUUUCAAACAGAUGAAAAAGUGCAACAUGACAGAAUGUAAAGAAAACAGUUGUGUUUUUUUUUAAACACUUUUGUUAGAAUUGUGUUAUUGUUUAAGUUAUUUGUAACUGCUUUCAGUAUUAUAAAGGAAUAUCUUAAA